rnacentral:rRNA from 1 species
GUGCUUAACACAUGCAAGUCGAACGGAAAGGCCCCUUUUUUGGGGUGCUCGAGUGGCGAACGGGUGAGUAACACGUGGGUGACCUGCCCUGCACUUCGGGAUAAGCCUGGGAAACUGGGUCUAAUACCGGAUAGGACCAUUCUGCGCAUGUGGGGUGGUGGAAAGCGUUUGGUAGCGGUGUGGGAUGGGCCCGCGGCCUAUCAGCUUGUUGGUGGGGUGAUGGCCUACCAAGGCGACGACGGGUAGCCGGCCUGAGAGGGUGUCCGGCCACACUGGGACUGAGAUACGGCCCAGACUCCUACGGGAGGCAGCAGUGGGGAAUAUUGCACAAUGGGCGCAAGCCUGAUGCAGCGACGCCGCGUGGGGGAUGACGGCCUUCGGGUUGUAAACCUCUUUCAGCCUCGACGAAGCUGCGGGUUUUCUCGUGGUGACGGUAGGGGCAGAAGAAGCACCGGCCAACUACGUGCCAGCAGCCGCGGUAAUACGUAGGGUGCAAGCGUUGUCCGGAAUUACUGGGCGUAAAGAGCUCGUACGCGGCUUGUCGCGUUGUUCGUGAAAUC